rnacentral:rRNA from 1 species
AACGGCGAGUGAAGCGGCAACAGCUCAAAUUUGAAAUCUGGCUUCGGCCCGAGUUGUAAUUUGCAGAGGAUGUUUCUGGCGCGGUGCCUUCCGAGUUCCCUGGAACGGGACGCCACAGAGGGUGAGAGCCCCGUAUGGUUGGACACCAAGCCUGUGUGAAACUCCUUCGACGAGUCGAGUAGUUUGGGAAUGCUGCUCUAAAUGGGAGGUAAAUCUCUUCUAAAGCUAAAUACCGGCCAGAGACCGAUAGCGCACAAGUAGAGUGAUCGAAAGAUGAAAAGCACCUUGAAAAGGGGGUUAAAUAGUACGUGAAAUUGUUGAAAGGGAAGCACUUAUGACCAGACUUGGGCCGGGCGGCUCAUCAGGGGUUCUCCCCUGUGCACUCCGCCCGGCACAGGCCAGCAUCGGUUCUCGUGGGGGGAUAAGACCGUCAGGAACGUAGCACCCUCCGGGGUGUGUUAUAGCCUGGCGGACGAUACCCCCGUGGGGACCGAGGUCCGCGCUCCGCAAGGAUGCUGGCGUAAUGGUCAUCAGUGACCCGUCUUGAAACACGGACCAAGGAGUCGUCCAUUAGAGCGAGCGUUUGGGUGUAAAACCCGCACGCGUAAUGAAAGUGAACGCAGGUGAGAGCUUCGGCGCAUCAUCGACCGAUCCUGAUGUUCUCGGAAGGAUUUGAGUAAGAGUUUUAACGGACGGACCCGAAAGACAGUGAACUAUGCUUGUAUAGGGUGAAGCCAGAGGAAACUCUGGUGGAGGCUCGCAGCGGUUCUGACGUGCAAAUCGAUCGUCAAA